rnacentral:rRNA from 1 species
AUGAACGCUGGCGGCGUGCCUAAUACAUGCAAGUCGAGCGAACAGACGAGGAGCUUGCUCCUCUGACGUUAGCGGCGGACGGGUGAGUAACACGUGGAUAACCUACCUAUAAGACUGGGAUAACUUCGGGAAACCGGAGCUAAUACCGGAUAAUAUAUUGAACCGCAUGGUUCAAUAGUGAAAGACGGUUUUGCUGUCACUUAUAGAUGUAUCCGCGCCGCAUUAGCUAGUUGGUAAGGUAACGGCUUACCAAGGCAACGAUGCGUAGCCGACCUGAGAGGGUGAUCGGCCACACUGGAACUGAGACACGGUCCAGACUCCUACGGGAGGCAGCAGUAGGGAAUCUUCCGCAAUGGGCGAAAGCUUGACGGAGCAACGCCGCGUGAGUGAUGAAGGUCUUCGGAUCGUAAAACUCUGUUAUUAGGGAAGAACAAAUGUGUAAGUAACUAUGCACGUCUUGACGGUACCUAAUCAGAAAGCCACGGCUAACUACGUG